ensembl:piRNA 21ur-6684 ncRNA
UUUUGUGAAUUUAUCGGAAAG